UCACAGGUUGGAGAAUUGGUUGGGCUUGUGCUCCAGCCUGUGUUGCAUCUGCAAUAAGAAACAUUCAUAUCAAGAUCACAGAUUCAGCUCCUGCUCCUUUCCAGGAAGCUGCUGUUACUGCACUGCAAAGCCCACCAGCAUACUUUAAAUCUUUAAAAGCAGACUACGAGGCAAGAAGAGACUUUGUUGUUCAGAUGCUCUCAUCGCUUGGUCUUCAAAUUCGGUUCAAACCACGGGGUUCAGUUUUUGUAUUUGCAGAGUUACCUGAGAACUGGCUACUUUCUGAUAUAGAAUUUGUCAAAGAGUUGAUUGAGAAAGCAGGGGUGGCAGCUGUACCUGGCUGUCGAUUCUUUCAUGCAGAUCCUAAUGUCCGGGAGUACCACAAUAGAUAUGUCAGGUUUGCUUUCUGCAAGAGCGAUGCCACUCUAAAUGCUGCUGCUGAAAAGAUGCAAGAGCUUGUAAACAGCACUGGAUACCUGGAUCUCUGAUUAGAAAAAAAUUCUGGAGUACACCGAUUCUGGUCUGAACUUCAGCAACUGAUUGUUAACCAAUCUCUUCUACCUUAGAAGCAAGUUGUCUAGCUGUAUUAUAUUGACACGCGUGCCGCAUUGAAUUAAACCUCGUUUCUGAACUGUGGUGGCUUUGAAUAUGUGCUGCAGUGCCUCCUCUAUGUAUACAACCCAUGAAGAAUGGAAUGCAUCUUGGCAUCAAAUCUAGUGUUCAUAGAGAGCUGAGGUUAUUGAAUUAGACUGGAUUUUGGCUUGUGCUUUUAGAGGAGACCACAUAGAGAUGUUAUAUUUACUUUGAACUAAAGCUAGCACCUUGUUUACUGGCAUUACCUUGAACUAUUGGAAGUGGUUUAGAUCGCCAUAUAUCGUAAUUGUUCAACA